UACGUAGGUGGCAAGCGUUGUCCGGAUUUAUUGGGUUUAAAGGGUGCGUAGGCGGCCCUGUAAGUCAGUGCUGAAAUAUCCCCAGCUUAACUGGGGAGGGUGGCAUUGAUACUGCGGGGCUAGAGUACAGAUGAGGUAGGCGGAAUUGACGGUGUAGCGGUGAAAUGCUUAGAUAUCGUCAAAGAACACCUAUAGCGAAGGCAGCUUACUAGGCUGUAAACUACGUGAG
rnacentral:rRNA from 1 species